rnacentral:rRNA from 1 species
CGACGCCGCGUGAGGGAGGAAGGCCUUCGGGUUGUAAACCUCUUUUGACGAGGAAGAACACAAUGACGGUACUCGUCGAAUAAGCCCCGGCUAACUCCGUGC